rnacentral:hammerhead_ribozyme from 1 species
AUCCAGCUGACGAGUACCAAAUAGAACGAAACAUGCGUCCUGGAU